CCUACGGGCGGCAGCAGUGAGGAAUAUUGGUCAAUGGACGAGAGUCUGAACCAGCCAAGUAGCGUGAGGGAUGACUGCCCUAUGGGUUGUAAACUUCUUUUAUAUGGGAAUAAAAUGUUCCACGUGUGGGAUUUUGUAUGUACCGUAUGAAUAAGGAUCGGCUAACUCCGUGCCAGCAGCCGCGGUAAUACGGAGGAUCCGGGCGUUAUCCGGAUUUAUUGGGUUUAAAGGGAGCGUAGGCGGGUUUUUAAGUGAGUUGUGAAAGUUUGCGGCUCAACCGUAAAAUUGCAGUUGAAACUGGCAGUCUUGAGUACAGUAGAGGUGGGCGGAAUUCGUGGUGUAGCGGUGAAAUGCUUAGAUAUCACGAAGAACUCCGAUUGCGAAGGCAGUUCACUGGACUGCAACUGACACUGAGGCUCGAAAGUGUGGGUAUCAAACAGGAUUAGAUACCCCUGUAGUC
rnacentral:rRNA from 1 species